rnacentral:rRNA from 1 species
UACGUAGGGUGCGAGCGUUGCCCGGAAUUAUUCGGGCGUAAAGCGCGCGCAGGCGGUUUCUUAAGUCUGAUGUGAAAGCCCACGGCUCAACCGUGGAGGGUCAUUGGAAACUGGGGAACUUGAGUGCAGAAGAGAAAAGCGGAAUUCCACGUGUAGCGGUGAAAUGCGUAGAGAUGUGGAGGAACACCAGUGGCGAAGGCGGCUUUUUGGUCUGUAACUGACGCUUGAGGCGCGAAAGCGUGGGGAGCAAACAGG